CGGAGCGUGGUUGGUGGGUCACGAGCACUGGAAUUUGGCAAAACCACUGGCUUCCAUGGACGCAUCUGUAGCCCGGCGUAAUUUUAACGCAUCUCAUUCCAAGUGAAUCGUAAUGAUUUUAUCGUCGGUAACUCUCUCGAUGAUCGCGCUUCUGCGGCAAAACGAGCGGCCGCCAGGGAUUUGUCCCCUGCGCUUCGUAUCGCGCAGCGGCUGCGACCGCCGCAUCGAAGCGUGACCCGUGCCGACCUCGCGCGCACGCUCUGCCUGCCCGUGCCGCUGAGGGCUCCUUGACCAUCCUUCGUCGUCGCAUUCUACUUUAGUAGCUCGCACAUUCUGCCCCUACUGCCCCCCCACCCCCACCACUAAAGUCUGAAAGUCUUUCCCUCCCACCACUCCUCCCCCAGCAAUCCAUGCUGUCGACUCCCUGACCCCCCCCCCCCAUCCACCCACCCGUGCCGGACCGCUCGCCCACACCUGUAAACGAGACUCCGUCACCCCAAUGUUGAAAUCCAUCCGCUGGCUCCAAAUCCAAUCCAGCAUCUUUUGCAAGAUCACGCUCAACGUCUUCAGUAGCUGAACUGGUUGCAUGAGUGGCGAGUGACAUCUGAGACGACGAGCAUGGUGAAGUAUGCUCAAACCUCGCCCUCCCCCCGCGACCGACACGGCGCUGGAGAGACCUUCAUCCAGCGGCGGACCUGCAAGGACUGGAAAGCCUAAUGGCCACGGAUGGAGCGAUGAGGACUCCUUCAGCGGACCACUCAUCACGCCCGAGCGGAACUGUCUCUACCCGCGAGGAUGGUCCUGCCGCACACACUCGUUCGUGACGCGGCACUUUUCGUUGAUUCGGACGGGUUGUUCUCGCCGUCACAUUUCCUUUGUUCUUGUUAUUGUUGUUCUUGCCUUCCAUGGUCACUGCUACGAUUGUGUUGUUGUUAGGGGUCGGUCACUGGUUACGAUUGUGUUGUUGUUAGGGAUCGGUCACUACACAUGCGCGCACGUUUGUAUAUAUUGACAGCCGGGACGGCUGCGUUUUUAUUCGUGGUGGGGGGGGGGAUGAUAUAGUGUAGUGAAAUACGCGGUGCGCACACUUGACUGAGGGCAACUGAGGGCAAGCAGGUGCGCGUGUGCAAACAUGGGGUUGCAUGAACAAAUCGCCACCUAAUUAAGGGGCUAAGCGGGUGCAAACCAGGUCCACCGGUUGUGCACGCUGACACGGAGGUGUUUACAGGGAGAUGGGAGAUAAGGGUUGAUUAAUGGGCUGACAGGCGCCAGCCUGGCUAGCCUUAAAGAGACACACGAGAGCUCUCGGAUAAUUGGCCGUAGGAUGUAAGGACAUGUGUGAACGGAGCAGAGUUAGUUGUUGCCGGGGACAAGAGUGAAGACAUCUCGCCGCUGCCGCUCAAGCCGUCAACGGACCUCAACCCUCACGAGUCGCUGGGCGAGUGAUGGUUGAUCCCCCCACCCGGGACAGAUGAGUGAGCAGGUCUGAGGGAGCGUAGGUGGCGGUGGAGUGUGAGAAGCCUCUGUGUGGAGAAGCUUCUGAUGCGCUGUGUGCAAGCCUCUGUGUGGAGAAAAAGCUGUGUGCUCAGGCGCUGUGUGCAAGCCUCUGUGUGGAGAAGAAGCUGUGUGCUGAGUCGCUGUGUGCGAAGCCUCUGUGUGUGAAGGUGCUGAAUGCGACUAAGCUCUGUGCGGAGUCGCUGGGAGCAGAGCUGCCGAGGGCAAGAUAGGUGAGGUGUAUCGGAGAGAGACGAGUGGAAGAAGUUAGGUCUAAGUGAUCGUGUAGAUAGUUCUAGGAGUGCCUACAACUGGUGCAAGAAUAGGUUAAUAAAGUGUACGCAGGUGACUUGUUA